rnacentral:rRNA from 1 species
UAUUGCACAAUGGGGGGAACCCUGAUGCAGCGAUGCCGCGUGGAGGAAGAAGGUUUUCGGAUUGUAAACUCCUGUCUUAAAGGACGAUAAUGACGGUACUUUAGGAGGAAGCUCCGGCUAACUACGUGCCAGCAGCCGCGGUAAUACGUAGGGAGCGAGCGUUGUCCGGAAUUACUGGGUGUAACGGGAGCGUAGGCGGGAUUGCAAGUCAGAUGUGAAAGGCGGAGGCUCAACCUCCGAGCUGCAUUUGAAACUGUAGUUCUUGAGUGAAGUAGAGGUAAGCGAAAUUCCUGGUGUAGCGGUGAAAUGCGUAGAUAUCAGGAGGAACACCGGUGGCGAAGGCGGCUUACUGGGCUUUUACUGACGCUGAGGCUCGAAAGCGUGGGGAACAAACAGG